rnacentral:rRNA from 1 species
AACACGACUCUCGGCAACGGAUAUCUCGGCUCUCGCCACGAUGAAGAAUGUAGCGAAAUGUGAUACUUAGUGUGAAUUGCAGAAUCCCGUGAAUCAUCGAGUCUUUGAACGCAAGUUGCGCCCGAGGCCUCGGCCGAGGGCACGUCUGCUUGGGCGUCGCAC